UGGAAACUCAGAUGCCUUGCACUGCUGCCGGAUCAAGGAUGGAGUGAACUAAAACACUUUGCUAUUACAACUAGCCCUCCCUGUUCCAUGAAUCAACAGGGGAAGAAUUGGCAAUGCUAAAUUGGUGAGAAGAGAGCAAGAGGAAGAUGAUGAGUUGACAUGGAAAAGCGACUUGCGAUAUGUUCAGCGGAUCACCAUGUCAAGGAAUGAGCAGUUAAAUAAGAGUCUUUUCGACAAAAGUAAGAGGGAGUAUUUCAUAACUGAACAUGUUUUAUGUACAAUCUGUUACUGACUGGCAUUGUGAAAAACGCAGAGUGUCAUCAGAAAAAUGAAGCCUGAGGACGCUAUCGGCCUUUCCUGUCAAGUAUUGGCCACUACUAUCUGCAUUAGCUUCACCUCAGAACAUGCCCUUUUUCACUUGGAGAGAGGAAGUAGGAGUUCUCAGUGAUGAUCAUC